GCGCAGCAGGCGAGAAACUUUACAAUGUGCGAAAGCACGAUAAGGGAACUCUGAGUGCCUCCUAAGGAGACUGUUCAGGUGUCUAAAAGCACCUGAAGGAAGGGCUGGGUAAGACCGGUGCCAGCCGCCGCGGUAACACCGGCAGCCCAAGUGGUAGCCACGUUUAUUGGGUCUAAAGCGUCCGUAGCCGGCUGGGUAAGUUCCUUGGGAAAUUUGGCUGCUUAACAGUCAAGCUUUCAGGGAAUACUGCCCGGCUUGGGACCGGGAGAGGUCAGAGGUACUCCAGGGGUAGGGGUGAAAUCCAUUAAUCCUUGGGGGACCACCGGUAGCGAAGGCGUCUGACCAGACCGGGUCCGACGGUGA
rnacentral:rRNA from 1 species